rnacentral:rRNA from 1 species
AUGAACGCUAGCUACAGGCUUAACACAUGCAAGUCGAGGGGCAGCAUGGUCUUAGCUUGCUAAGGCCGAUGGCGACCGGCGCACGGGUGAGUAACACGUAUCCAACCUGCCGUCUACUCUUGGACAGCCUUCUGAAAGGAAGAUUAAUACAAGAUGGCAUCAUGAGUCCACAUGUUCACAUGAUUAAAGGUAUUCCGGUAGACGAUGGGGAUGCGUUCCAUUAGAUAGUAGGCGGGGUAACGGCCCACCUAGUCUUCGAUGGAUAGGGGUUCUGAGAGGAAGGUCCCCCACAUUGGAACUGAGACACGGUCCAAACUCCUACGGGAGGCAGCAGUGAGGAAUAUUGGUCAAUGGGCGAGAGCCUGAACCAGCCAAGUAGCGUGAAGGAUGACUGCCCUAUGGGUUGUAAACUUCUUUUAUAAAGGAAUAAAGUCGGGUAUGCAUACCCGUUUGCAUGUACUUUAUGAAUAAGGAUCGGCUAACUCCGUGCCAGCAGCCGCGGUAAUACGGAGGAUCCGAGCGUUAUCCGGAUUUAUUGGGUUUAAAGGGAGCGUAGAUGGAUGUUUAAGUCAGUUGUGAAAGUUUGCGGCUCAACCGUAAAAUUGCAGUUGAUACUGGAUAUCUUGAGUGCAGUUGAGGCAGGCGGAAUUCGUGGUGUAGCGGUGAAAUGCUUAGAUAUCACGAAGAACUCCGAUUGCGAAGGCAGCCUGCUAAGCUGCAACUGACAUUGAGGCUCGAAAGUGUGGGUAUCAAACAGGAUUAGAUACCCUGGUAGUCCACACGGUAAACGAUGAAUACUCGCUGUUUGCGAUAUACAGCAAGCGGCCAAGCGAAAGCGUUAAGUAUUCCACCGGGGGAGUACGCCGGCAACGGUGAAACGAAAAGGAAUUGACGGGGGCCCGCACAAGCGGAGGAACAUGUGGUUUAAUUCGAUGAUACGCGAGGAACCUUACCCGGGCUUAAAUUGCAGAUGAAUUACGGUGAAAGCCGUAAGCCGCAAGGCAUCUGUGAAGGUGCUGCAUGGUUGUCGUCAGCUCGUGCCGUGAGGUGUCGGCUUAAGUGCCAUAACGAGCGCAACCCUUGUUGUCAGUUACUAACAGGUUCCGCUGAGGACUCUGACAAGACUGCCAUCGUAAGAUGUGAGGAAGGUGGGGAUGACGUCAAAUCAGCACGGCCCUUACGUCCGGGGCUACACACGUGUUACAAUGGGGGGUACAGAGGGCCGCUACCACGCGAGUGGAUGCCAAUCCCCAAAACCUCUCUCAGUUCGGACUGGAGUCUGCAACCCGACUCCACGAAGCUGGAUUCGCUAGUAAUCGCGCAUCAGCCACGGCGCGGUGAAUACGUUCCCGGGCCUUGUACACACCGCCCGUCAAGCCAUGGGAGCCGGGGGUACCUGAAGUGCGUAACCGCGAGGAGCGCCCUAGGGUAAAACUGGUGACUGGGGCU